rnacentral:hammerhead_ribozyme from 1 species
ACGCUGCUGAGGAGUUCUACAAUAGGACUAAAUGGCCGUCCAGUGU